AGUAAAGAUGAUGAGGCUCUUAUAUCUGAAAAUGAUGUGGAAUCACAUAUCAUAAAGGUCUUCAAAGUUCUCUGAUUGCU
rfam:Punica granatum cultivar Dabenzi scaffold665, whole genome shotgun sequence.